ACUUCCUACAAUUGUAAAAAUUGUAUGAAAAAUGACAGUUAGGGUAUUUUGAAUAUAACCGACAAACAGAAGAUACUUUGAAAUAAAAAGUGCCCCAUUGAACGAUUAAACAUUUUUAUUAGAACAUCGAUAAAAAGAAAAUGAGAACAAAUCUUGCAUCUAACGGUGCACUGUGUUAGCAUCCAUAUCUUUGAGGGCUAAUCUACGAAUAUUAUUAUAAACACAGCUUAGAAAAUAAUCGUAAAUGCUGCUUUAUAAUCAUAUAAUUGAAGUUAGAAGCGUGAACAUAUCUUACUAUUACAUAUAGAACGAGCAAAUACCGUUUACCAAUAUCUUCUACACGUUUCAACAAUAUAUUCUGCACGUUUUGCUUACGACGAAAUAACGAACGCUAAUGGUUUGUUGAAAUAAACGAAGCCUUGUUAUAAUAUGUCGCUAUCAACUGCGCCACCGUGGUCACCCGUGACCACCAAUAAGAUAAACGGUCCAUUGGGGAAGAAUGUUGUCUUACAUCGUCAAUUUAUUAAUAUUAUUAUUAUAUGCUUUGAACAAUAAAAAUACUCCCGUGGCGUCCUCCGCGAAACAUGUGAUUUCGGCGUGUCAGUCAAAGUGUUAAUGUGGUAACCCUGCCCCUAAUUGGCAACGAUAGCCAAAAUCGCGUAGAUCGGUCGCGUUUUUAUUACGAGGAAAAUCUUUGCCGAGGAGGUAGCCAUCGGAUCGGCUGGUAAUCCAUGUCCGUCUGCGCUCGCUCGCCUCUUCAUCCACGUCAUCCUUUCUCCCCGACCUAGCUGCUUCUUAUCGUGGUAGCAAUUUUUUGAAUGUAUCGCCGCCCGUUCUUUCGUUCGACGCGCUUUUUCCAUGCCUGCCGCCGGGAGAAAUUUAUCGUCGGGCCAAAAGGAGAGCCCCGCCCGCCGAUAUCUCGCGACGGCAACCACACCGCGUUCGACCCUCCAAGACGGAAGCCGUAGCCCCAAGCCGAAUAUCAGAGACCGACGCUACCUCAGUACGAAGAUGAGAAGGUGGUUAGUGGCAGAAUGUGAGUUUGAUUGGUUAUGGCGUCGUAAACGUACAACUGCUCGCAUUAAUAUUCCGACACGGCACUAUCUUUCGUUGCUUUGUGCAACACUUGUGGAAAUAUCGCGUUGCUUGUUCUAUGAAAAUACCAGGCUUUGUUCCAGGCUUGAAGGUAAACAAUUUCUGCAGACGAAUAACGUUUAAUUGUACGGUACGUUUCGAAGGAAAAAUCGUCGGAACAUCGCAUUAGUGUGCUUGUGAAAUCUGGCAAUUCUUAGCAAUUGUCCGAACUGUUCGAAAUAGAUUUACUUUGUAUACGAACGGUUCCAUCGCAGUACAAAGUUGCAUUUCGAAGCAUCAACGCUGGUAGCUUGACACGCGAUGAGAAGGAAAGAACUCGUAGCCGGAAUGUUUCAUUUGCAAAUUGCUUGUAGAUAAGAUGCACAAAUUUUGCUCGCUUCUAGGCAGCGAAAGAGGAGGUUUCGCGAGCGUCGAAGGUGGAGCGGACGGAGAACACUUCUUGCUCCGACACGUCCUUCGCUAGCUGUAUUUUUAACGAUCUGCGCGACGCUUGUUUUUGUCGAGUAUGAUCGGACGAAGAUACUUACGGUGUCGAUUGUGAAUAACGGGACAACGCGUAUCGUAUCGACGACUGGAAAUGACGAAAUACAGUCGCCAUUCUUUUUCAGCCAACCGAGAAACGUCCCGCGUCUACUAAAGGUCGAAAUAUACGGUGGAAACCGGACGGGAUGAUUUACAUCGCGAUUAAUAAAACAGAUUUCCCAGCGUUCGCGUUUAUCCGUGUUUUCUCGUGGCGUACGCGUGAAAUUGCAUAAAUUUUCGCGCAAACUAAACGAAACAGAGAACAGGACACGCAUAAUGUAAAAAUAUAGGUAAAAUCGGUUGGCAGGGAUAUACGAGACGGAAAUCGUCGCGAGAGAAGAAAUCGUCGACAAGGAGGAUCGUAAAUACGCUCGCGAAUGGAGUAGGACAAAGGCUUCCCCUUCGAGGAUACUCUCCAAGUGUUCGAGUAUUCACAAAGGGAGCGAAGAAGAGCGGCCAAGGAGCUUUCCCCUGUGGAAACCGUGGAGAGUCCAUUCGGAGGUAACUCGAAGAAGAAUCUCGAGUUGGAAAUCCCGUUUCUCUCUUCCAUUCUCUUUUUCUAUCCGUCUGGAACAACCGGGUCCCCACGCGGCUCUCGAAAGCCGCGUUAAACGCGUACCGAUCGGCCGCUAUUCUUGCGAUCGUUUUUGUUCGACGACCACGGUCAGAUUUAACGCUGCUGCCGAAAAAUCGGAUCGCACGUUCGGAUUACCGAUUGCAAAGUUGGUUCUCGCGCGAAAAAACGCGUUCGUUUGUCCACCAUGUUUGCGCCGUCCAUUGAAUGCAACGCGUCGAGGACGGAUUCCAAUUAAACGCGCAUCGAGAAUGAAAAAAAAAAAGAAAAAAGGAAAAAUAGAGAGAGAAAAGGAGGAAGAGGAGAGAAAAGAGGGGGCGAUGACCGCGAUUCAACGAAAUAAUAGUUGCUCUCGAUCCGAGCCGAUCAAUGGGAAACUCUUCUCGGCGAAUUUCGAAGACAAUGGCUCCGACAAAUGGAAAAA